GGGCAUAAGGCGUAGUGGUCACUGCACUCGCCUUGCACGCGGGAGACCCGGGUUCGAUUCCCGGCGGGGUCA
rnacentral:tRNA from 1 species